AAGUGAUCAAAUGCCAAAUGAGAAUUGUAUUCCCUGUACGGCUGCGUAGCGUACGCUAGCGCCGCCCUGUGCAUUGUUUCUCAUAUUAUUUUUGGGAAUUCAUUUUUUGAUUAUUUUUGAUGGCUUGAACUCUACGCGGGAGCAACAUAGUAUUGUGGCUUGGUGAAUUGAGACAUAGCAGUACAAUGAGUUCACGAGGGGCCAAUGUGUUACUUUCGAGAGCCAGCAGAAUCAAGCAGAAGCUUCAGUCUGCACUGGAAACCAGUGUUCUGGAAAUUGAAGAUGUUUCUCAUAAGCAUGCAAGCCAUGCGGCCGUCAAGGGAAAUGCGAAUGAGACCCAUUAUAAUGUGAAGAUCGUUUCAGCCAAAUUUGAUGGGCAAAGCCUGGUGAAACGCCAUCGAAUGGUAUAUGAUCUCUUGGCUGAAGAGCUUCAGUCUGGGUUGCAUGCCCUGUCUAUAGUGGCAAAAACUCCACAAGAAGCUGGGACAAGUUAAAGGUAUAAGAAGGAAACAUGGCUUCAACUCGACUAAAGAAGCUGUGAUGUUUACAAUAAUGGAAGGGAGUAAAUAGGCUUGGGUUAUGGAGAUCCAGAAUAUACUGGUUUUGUUGAAUACAUGGAUGAGUGUAAUAGAAUCUAUUUUGGUCAGUUGUAUCUCGAAAAUUCACUGGGAUAUUAUUAUUCUUACUUCAGACAGUUAGGGUUUGAAAAAUUGGAAGCUAAGUCUUACAAGUAAGAUUAAUCACCUAAUGUCCCUAUUGACUUCAGUUUCAGUUUCAGACAUAACAAAAUAAGCGACGGUGCCUGCAAGUGAGCUCAAUUACUUUCUAUUUCUGCUAUUACUCUAUAUUUCCUUUGGUUACAUUGUAAUAGAUGUGUGUUUCAAACAUGUACUCCUGCAUCCUCUUAGAUUCUGAACUUAAUCUAUGAAUGGUCAGCUGAAACUGUCUUUUAACUUAA